rnacentral:ncRNA from 2 species
ACGCGCUGCCAGGGGAGCCGGGUAAGCCCGGCUGAGAGUGCGGCCCGAUUGAUGCCGCUGACCCUUUGAACCUGAUCUGGGUUAUGCCAGCGGAGGGAAGGCGUAUUGAUGAUACC